UGCAAGUCGAGCGGUAGAGAGGUGCUUGCACCUCUUGAGAGCGGCGGACGGGUGAGUAAUGCCUAGGAAUCUGCCUGGUAGUGGGGGAUAACGCUCGGAAACGGACGCUAAUACCGCAUACGUCCUACGGGAGAAAGCAGGGGACCUUCGGGCCUUGCGCUAUCAGAUGAGCCUAGGUCGGAUUAGCUAGUUGGUGAGGUAAUGGCUCACCAAGGCGACGAUCCGUAACUGGUCUGAGAGGAUGAUCAGUCACACUGGAACUGAGACACGGUCCAGACUCCUACGGGAGGCAGCAGUGGGGAAUAUUGGACAAUGGGCGAAAGCCUGAUCCAGCCAUGCCGCGUGUGUGAAGAAGGUCUUCGGAUUGUAAAGCACUUUAAGUUGGGAGGAAGGGCAUUAACCUAAUACGUUAGUGUUUUGACGUUACCGACAGAAUAAGCACCGGCUAACUCUGUGCCAGCAGCCGCGGUAAUACAGAGGGUGCAAGCGUUAAUCGGAAUUACUGGGCGUAAAGCGCGCGUAGGUGGUUUGUUAAGUUGGAUGUGAAAGCCCCGGGCUCAACCUGGGAACUGCAUUCAAAACUGACAAGCUAGAGUAUGGUAGAGGGUGGUGGAAUUUCCUGUGUAGCGGUGAAAUGCGUAGAUAUAGGAAGGAACACCAGUGGCGAAAGCGACCACCUGGACUGAUACUGACACUGAGGUGCGAAAGCGUGGGGAGCAAACAGGAUUAGAUACCCUGGUAGUCCAC
rnacentral:rRNA from 2 species